rnacentral:rRNA from 1 species
UAGCAUAAUCAUUUGUUUUUUAAUUGGAUACUGGGAUGAAAGGCUUAACUAAUAAUAGUGUCUAGGUUUAUUUUAGGAAUUUGUAUUUUAAAUGAGAAUAUUUGAAUAGGGUUAAGGGACGAUAAGACCCUAAAAGCUUUAUAUAGAGGUUGUGUUUAGUAGGUUAUCUUAUGUUGUUUAGCUGGGGUAGUAGUUAUGGAGAAUUUAUGGUUAUUUAGUGUAAAAGUUUAGGUCCUUUAUAUAAGGAAGAUUUGAGAUAGUUACUUUAGGGUUAACAGCGUAAUAAUCUCGGGGAGUCCUUAUUUAUGGGGUUGUUUGCGACCUCGAUGUUGAAUUAGAAGUUCUUUUUGGAGCAGUAGCUAGGAAAGAAGGUUUGUUCAACCUUUAAAUUUUUACAUGAUUU